GAGCCAUGAUGACUAAUGCACAAAUGUGAAGAUGGGUCUUCAUACAUGUCUGAUUUAAGUGAUGAAAUGUUAUGUAUCCGAGCUC